CCUACGGGAGGCAGCAGUGAGGAAUAUUGGUCAAUGGACGCAAGUCUGAACCAGCCAUGCCGCGUGCAGGAAGACGGCUCUAUGAGUUGUAAACUGCUUUUGUACGGGGGUAAACGCAGAUACGCGUAUCUUUAUGAAAGUAUCGUACGAAUAAGCAUCGGCUAACUCCGUGCCAGCAGCCGCGGUAAUACGGAGGAUUCAAGCGUUAUCCGGAUUUAUUGGGUUUAAGGGGUGCGUAGGCGGAAUGCCAAGUCAGCGGUAAAAUCGCGGGGCUCCACCUCGCUCCGACGUUGAAACUGGCGUGCUUGAGAGGGCGAGAAGUAUGCGGAAGGCGUGGGGUAGCGGGGAAAUGCAUCGAUAUCACGUAGAACUGCGAUUGCGAAGGCAGAAUACCGGAGCCCAACUGACGCUGAAGCACGAAAGCGUGGGUAUCGAACAGGAUUAGAUAACCGUGUAGUC
rnacentral:rRNA from 1 species